GAACAAAUGUGCACAUUUGGAGGCUACAUUAUAGCCUGGUCUAAGAUCAGUUUGUGCUGUAUUUCCAACUCUCUGUCUAUUAGAAUUGUCGAAACAGCACGAACAGAGCUGGGACCAGGCUAUGAUGUCAUCACAAAGGGAAAGGAUGACAUCACAACUUUGAUCAGCCAUGUUGGUUUGUGUUGGAGUUUGUUGUGGCAUUGUUCUAGAGGCCUGAACAGAAGGACAAACAGAAGAACACAUUGUUGCUGAAUGAAUGCAUCUCUUCAUUUACAGAAAGAAAACAUCAGUAGAAUUACGGAGAAGAGUUGCUGGGGUGGGCCACGGGCCAGAAGGUAAACCAAGGCCUCGCUGGGUUGUACAUGACCAGCCGAGGGAGCCAGAGAGCCAGCAGAGGGGACCAGAGAGCCAGCAGGGGGAGCCAGAGAGCCAGCAGGGGUGAGCCAGAGAGCCAGCAGGGGGGAGCCAGAGAGCCAGCAGGGGGGAGCCAGAGAGCCAGCAGGGGGGAGCCAAAGAGCCAGCAAGGGGGAGCCAGAGAGCCAGCAAGGGGGAGCCAGUGAGCCAGCAGGGGGAGCCCGAGAGCCAGCAGAGGGGACCAGAGAGCCAGCAGGGGGGAGCCAGAGAGCCAGCAGGGGGGAGCCAGAGAGCCAGCAGGGGGGAGCCAGAGAGCCAGCAAGGGGGACCAGAGAGCCAGCAGGGAGGACCAGAGAGCCAGCAGGGAGGACCAGAGAGCCAGCAGGGAGGACCAGAGAGCCAGCAGGGGGGACCAGAGAGCCAGCAGGGGGGACCAGAGAGCCAGCAGGGAGGACCAGAGAGCCAGCAGGGGAUUUCAGAGGUGGCUGAGAAAUCAGAGGCAACCACCAAACCCAAGAAAAAGCCAGGCAUCUGGAAGAGAAUUAAGACGGGUGGCUCCACAGACCAGAGAUUCUCAUCUUUAUCCAAGUUGAACACAUCGCUGGUCAGUUCCACCACCCUCCUGUCCUAGACCUAGAAGAUAUCUCCCAACUCAACAUGGUGAAACAAUUUGAGAGGCACAGGGAAAGCCAUGGAGCAGCACCCCUUGGAUGAAGAGCCAUUUAGGGGUUAAGUGCCUUGAUCUAGGGCACAACGGCAGGAGAUGGUACCUGGGAGCAAAGUACUGUUCAGCUUUACUAAAAGCAUGAAUUAAAAAAAGUGACAUUGUUUUUACGGUGUUGAUUUUUUUGGUUAUUUAUUAGAAUUUAAACAUACAUCAUGGAAUAUUAUAUGUUAGACUUCCAGUGAAUCUCCUAACAUUCCAUCAGUUUGCUACAAUGUGUGACUGAUAUGUUAUAUUAGAGAGGGGUCAUCUCUUGCUGGCCCAACAUUUAUAAGUUAAGAGCGUUGGACCAGCAAAUAGAAAGGUCGCUGGUUCGAAUCCCAGAGCAAACCUGGUGAAAAGUCUGUCGAUGUGCUCUAAAAUGUGAACGUUAUCUAUACAGUCUAUUUUAGACCAUAGGAUAAAUGUCAGAUUGAAAUAGCUUCUCUAAAUGAAGUGGUGGCAGAAUAUGAGAGAAACAAUAGAUACAUAGUUAGCUCUCCGACCUACAGAACUUGGGUAGUUCCACCAAUUGAGGACCGUUUAGGUAGUGUAACUUUACUUCACCUAAUUUUAACAUUCUGUAAAGAGCACAUGUUCACCUUAAUGGCUAACUCUUUUUAUCUCUGGGUAAUAAAAAAGAGGCAUCAUGGAAGGAUUCAACCUGUGAUUAAGGUUCUACUAAGCUAUAAUAUGGAGUUAUUUUAAGAUGGUCAAACAUUACCAAGGAUCAUUUAGCUAUUUCAUUUUGAAUUUUAGGGCCCCUUUAUGUACACUACCGUUCAAAAGUUUGGGGUCAUUUAGAAAUGUCCUUGUUUUUGAUAGAAAAGCACUUUUGUUUUUGUCCAUUAAAAUAACAUCAAAAUGAUCAUAAAUACAAUGUAGACAUUGUUAAUGUUGUAAAUGACUAUUGUAGCUGGAAACGGCAGAUUUUUUAUGGAAUAUCUACAUAGGCGCAAUUCAGAAGAAAGUUAUUUGUUCUGGCCAUUUUGAGCCUGUAAUCGAACCCACAAAUGCUGAUGGUCCAGAUACUCAAAUAGUCUAAAGAAGGCCAGUUUUAUUGCUUCUUUAAAACCCUGGUUUCCAUACAAUGAGAACAGUCUUCACAGCAGAUACUGUCUGCUCUGAAGUAUUCAUUUAUUUCAUAACAUAUCCUAACCCUUUGACCCAUUCCACACAUCUGUUGUUUGUCACGUAUUCAGGAGGAUUUGUCUUAACUAUAAACUGCUGUGGCUUAGUUCUGCUCGUAGAGUUCCUCAGUGAUCACCUCCGGGUGGUUACCGACAAACUCCAUUACUGCAGUAAUUAAAUAAUAAAGUUCAAUUGUUUUGAAGAAAUCUAAAAGUCUCUCUGCUUUGAUUAGAAUAAUUCCAUGACAUAACACUCAAAGUGAUUGUUUUGAGAAGAAUGGACAGAGUCUUGCUGAAGAUAUGUGUGCCUCCAUCAUUGCCAAGUUGCAAGCUAGUGGUGUUGCAAAUAGUGUCGUGUCAACAGUAGUGUGUGAUUGAUAAGAUCUUACUACUAGGCUGCACUCCCAAAUUAAACAACGUGUUCUGUCAGUUCUGCCUAUGGAUAACCCCUCUACAUCUGCUGGAAAGGAUAGUUUUGAGAACUUUGAAAACCCAUUUGCCAGUUUUACCACAGAAACCAAGAGAACAUAGUACUUCAACCAGAAAUGGGGUGUUGUGGAGCCAGUAGAAGUAGUGUUGGGAGUGAAAUUUGAUAGUAGGCGAAAUAGACAAACAGGCAUGUAUGAUCAAAUCCCAGUGAAAGACACGUUUGCAGCACUUCCAUGUUUGUAGUAAUUUUUAUGUGGACAUACAUAA
rnacentral:lncRNA from 8 species